rnacentral:tRNA from 1 species
GGUCUAUGGUGUAAUGGUUAGCACUCUGGACUUUUGAAUCCCAGCGAUCCGGGUUCGAGUCCCGGUUAGGACCU